CAACAGGGAUUGCCCUAGUAACGGCGAGUGAAGCGGCAACAGCUCAAAUUUGAAAUCUGGCCCUCGGGUCCGAGUUGUAAUUUGUAGAGGAUGCUUUUGGUGCGGUACCUUCCGAGUUCCCUGGAACGGGACGCCAUAGAGGGUGAGAGCCCCGUCUGGUUGGAUACCAAGCCUCUGUAAAGCUCCUUCGACGAGUCGAGUAGUUUGGGAAUGCUGCUCUAAAUGGGAGGUAUAUGUCUUCUAAAGCUAAAUACCGGCCAGAGACCGAUAGCGCACAAGUAGAGUGAUCGAAAGAUGAAAAGCACUUUGAAAAGAGAGUUAAAAAGUACGUGAAAUUGUUGAAAGGGAAGCGCUUAUGACCAGACUUGGGCUUGGUUGAUCAUCCUGGGUUCUCCCUGGUGCACUCUUCCAGUUCAGGCCAGCAUCAGUUCGCUGCGGGGGAUAAAAGUUUUGGGAAUGUGGCUCCUUCGGGAGUGUUAUAGCCCAUUGCAUAAUACCCUGCUCCGGACUGAGGUUCGCGCAUCUGCAAGGAUGCUGGCGUAAUGGUCAUCAGCGACCCGUCUUGAAACACGGACCAAGGAGUCGUCUUCGUAUGCGAGUGUUCGGGUGUUAAACCCCUACGCGUAAUGAAAGUGAACGCAGGUGAGAGCUUCGGCGCAUCAUCGACCGAUCCUGAUGUUCUCGGAUGGAUUUGAGUAAGAGCAUACGGGGCCGGACCCGAAAGAAGGUGAACUAUGCCUGUAUAGGGUGAAGCCAGAGGAAACUCUGGUGGAGGCUCGCAGCGGUUCUGACGUGCAAAUCGAUCGUCAAAUAUGGGCAUGGGGGCGAAAGACUAAUCGAACCUUCUAGUAGCUGGUUUCCGCCGAAGUUUCCCUC
rnacentral:rRNA from 1 species